rnacentral:piRNA from 1 species
UCCCUCAAAGGAUGUGCAAGGCUGCUUACC